rnacentral:rRNA from 1 species
UACGGAGGGUGCGAGCGUUGUCCGGAAUCACUGGGCGUAAAGGGCGCGUAGGUGGCGUCGCAAGUCAACGGUGAAAGCUCGACGCUUAACGUCGAGUCGGCCGUCGAGACUGCGGGGCUCGAGCACUGUAGAGGCUCAUGGAAUUCCGGGUGUAGCGGUGGAAUGCGUAGAGAUCCGGAAGAACACCGGUGGCGAAGGCGGUGAGCUGGG